rnacentral:rRNA from 1 species
ACGCACGCUGGCGGCGUGCCUCAUCCCUGCCAGUCGAGCGGACGAAUCGAAAGCUUGCUUUUGAUUCGUUAGCGGCGGACGGGUGAGUAACACGUGGGCAACCUGCCCUGUAGACGGGGAUAACACCGAGAAAUCGGUGCUAAUACCGGAUAACACGAAAUGUCGCAUGACGUUUCGUUGAAAGACGGCGCAAGCUGCCGCUACAGGAUGGGCCCGCGGCGCAUUAGCUAGUUGGUGAGGUAACGGCUCACCAAGGCGACGAUACGUAGCCGACCUGAGAGGGUGAUCGGCCACACUGGGACUGAGACACGGCCCAGACUCCUACGGGAGGCAGCAGUAGGGAAUCUUCCGCAAUGGACGAAAGUCUGACGGAGCAACGCCGCGUGAGCGAAGAAGGCCUUCGGGUCGUAAAGCUCUGUUGUUAGGGAAGAACAAGUAACGCAGUAACUGGCGUUACCGUGACGGUACCUAACGAGAAAGCCACGGCUAACUACGUG